AGCAAGUGCUUUUAACUGCUGAGCCAUGUCUCCAGCCCCUCUAUUGUAUUUUUUUUUUAGUAAAUUGAUUAAUUUUAUUUUUUCCCUUGCUUUUUUUUGUUGUUGUUUGCCUAUUUGUUAAUGAUAUGUCUCAAUUAGCCCAGGCUAGUCCUGAACUCACUAUGAAGUCAAGGAUGAUCUUGAACUCCUGAUCUUCCUGCCUCUACCUCCCAGGUGCUGUGAUUAUAGGUGUUGUGCCCACCAUAUCUGGAUUAAGAUGCCUUAUAAAUAAUAUGCUAUAUUCUGCAGUACUUCUGCAGUAAAACAGAUGCAGGGCCAGCAGAUCUAGAAGAAAAGCACAAGGAAAUUCCACCUCACUGUGUUGGUUGUAGGACUCUGGAGCUAUUUUUUUCUCCCUUAUACUUUUUCCACAGGCUCCCAAGGGGCCCACCCCCAACCAUGGUAAGCCUCCAGAGGGCCAUCCUUCGAAUGGAUAGGAGUCUGAGGGAGCCACUGGGCAAGGACCAGAGCCUUCCUGACAAACUCCUUAUGGGCCCACCCCCCACCCCAGGGACAGAGGGAGAACUCUGCCAAAAUGUGAUACUAGGUACCCCAAAGGGGAAAGGACACACUUUUUCCGGGUGUGAGCCUAAUCUUUAAUGGAUGAGCCAUCUCUCCAGCCCUCCCUUACACCUUCUGAAUUUUGUUGAUUUACAUGAGUAGAGAUGCUAUUUUUAGAAUCAAAACUCAAAAUGUUUGUUUCUGGCAAUAUAUUCCAGGUCAAACAGUGAUUUAGAAUCCCACUGUGCUAGUUAGUCUUAACUGUCAACUUGACAAAAUCUAAAAUCACCUGGGAAGAGAGUCUUAAUGAUGAAUUAUUUGGAUCAGGUUGGCCUGUAGGCAUGUCUAUGGAAAGAAUGUCUUGAUUGUUAAUUGAUGUAUAAAGACUCAGUCCAUUGUGGGCAGCUCUAUUCCCUAGGCAAGGGAUCCUGAAGCACAUGAGGGAGGAAAAGACUAGCUGAGCAGUAGGCAUGCAUGCAUUCCUUUAUCUCUGCUCUUGACUGGGCAUGUGAUGUAACCAGUUGUCUUAAGCAGCUGCUGCCUUGAUUUCCCUCCAAUAAUGGACUGUAACAUGGAAUCAUGAGCUAAAAUAACACUUUUCUCCCGUAGGUUGUUUUUUGGUGGGAUAUUUUAUCAUAGCAACAGAAAUGAAAUGAGGACAGCCACCCAAGUGUUCUACACUAUAGGGUCCUACCUCUGUAAGCCGAAUGGGCAACAGGAACCAAGGAUGAUGACUCCGCCAAUUCCCCCAGGACAGCAAGUCUGCAAGCCCCAAGGGCGCUCUUCUCUCUGCCCCCAGAGCUGCGAUUCCAGGAUCCACUGCUGGACUGGAUCCGUUCUAAUGCUUGGAGAAGUCAGUCGCCUAGGUAAAGUGACCUCUGGCCACCAAGUCUACUUCAAGAAUACACUCCAUUCUGAAGGAUAAGGGAGAGGAUGGAGGCCCAGCCCAAAAGGCCAGUGAGAGACUGAGAGAGCUAAUGGUCUACAAUGGCCUAGUCUUGGGCUCUGGAUGCAAGGUGGAAACUUCUGGGGAAAGGCCUUGCCUUUGGGAGACAGGAAGGCAGGAUAAUGAACUAAAACUCAAAUCCAUUACUAUAAUUCACACACUUGCAUAACAUCUUCCCCACCUUCCGGGGUGAGUUUAUUGAUAUUCCCCAUGAGGUAGGGAGGGGAAGACAUUAAUGUUCUCACUUAAUGGAUGGGGAAACUGAGGCACAAAGAGGGACUGUGACACCAAAGUUACCCUGUAAAGCUGUGGCAAAACUGAGAUCGUGAUCUGUCACUCACUGGAGCCACAGUGGCUCUCAAGCCAACCCCCAGGUCAGUCCCUUUGUAAGUUGCUCUUCGAGAAAAACCUUUUUAAAAAGCAUUCCCUUUAAAGAGUCUUAAAGUGUCCAUAUAAAAUUAAAAAAACACCGGAACAGUCCUUUGGGGUUCAGAACUGCACCCAUGAGAACUGAGAACAGUACAUCACAGUUUGUCAAAGGCAAAACUGAAGGGCGAUGUUACUUGGGGAGGGGGGCAGUAGGUAGCUGGAAGGGGUGGUGGUGGUUUCACAAUGGGAGAAGAUGGCUUGGUCCAAGUGGGAACUACCGAGUUACCUUUGCAGUUAGAGCAGGCCAAAUGCAGCUCCAGAGGAAGAGCAGAACAGACAAACGCUUGCUUGACUCAGCAAAAUCCCCUAAGAGUGAGGCUGUCAACAAAAUGACCGUAUGCCUGUUUCUGGCUCCAAACCAAGUGCUGUUGCCCGUGGCAGGGGAGGAGAGCUAUGCUGGCAUUCAAUGUGUGAACUCACCUGUCUGCAGGAUAAAGCUGAGGUUGCUUUGUUAAAAAAAAAAAAAAAAAAAAAAAAAAAAAAAAAAAAAAAAAAAAAAAUCAUCUGCAAUCCUAGGUCCCAGGAAGAAGGGUGGAGGAUACCUUAGAGAAGUCUGGGCUAACUAGGGAGAAUUGGCUGCUGUCUGCAGCAGAGUCCCUCUGCCUGUCCAAGGUGACAGUCUCUGCUAAGUGGCACCUAGGGUCAGAUAUGUGGCCCAGCCAGUCACUUGGCUCUGGGUCAGCCUUCUCUCCUGGCUCUGUAGUUCCAUUUUCCAGUUCCUCGGCUCACAAAGAUGCUCGCACAAAGAAUAUUUGGCUCUGAGAAGGAGUCUUCCUGGAAGCUCAAGGGAGUCAGAGAAUUCGAGUAGAGAGGAUUUAUGUGGACCCCAGCCAGGGUCUCCUGUGCCAGAUCACACCUAGAGGAAUCGACCAGCCCCUUUGGUCUAGAACUGACCCUUAGGUCCUUCAGAUAAUCCAGUUGGGUAGUGUUUGCUCUAAUCCCAUCCAAAUUUAGGCAUGAAUAACUGUGCAGCUGACAGCGCUCCCUGCCAGAAGGUGGAUGGGGCACUGAGCUAAAACAGCAAGUUGAAUUCUUUUCCAGUCUCCAGAUUCUGUCAGUGACCAAGUGGCCAGAAGCUAAGGAAGGUGCAUGACCCAAAGCAAAGGACGCUGAAGAAGAGACCUGAGUAGAGCUGCUUCCUAUUCUAUUGAUGUCACCAUUCCUAGUGAUAUUACAAGACCCAGGCAUGAAGUCUUGAGGGAAGAUCAGGCAGAAAUGUGUAUCUCAUCCACUUGAUAGAUGGGUAUGACUGGGCGGCACCGUUGAAAUUUCCAAAAUGUCACUAAGAUGGAGAAACCUCGAAUGCUGUGAGGAUUGAGCAACAGUCUACAGUCCAGGUAUUUGGUCCAGGAUGCCGUGUACUGGGUACGGGGGAGGGGGUUCGAGGUCCUCUGGAGCUAGGGCGGGAGUAGUGAGCAUGAGAAGGAAGCCUGAGAGAUGGCUUGCUCAGAGCUCCCAUUUUCCUGCAGGCCCUGCCUGCAUCCAUCAAACCUCAGUGAGCAUCCUUUUCUCUGCAUAAGCUCGAUGUGGAGUUGGAAGGUAGCUAGGCCGCCGUUCUCGUGAAGCCUCGGAAAAGUCAGCUUUGCCAAGCCCAUUGUCUGUUGCCUUCAGGUCCGGUGUAGGCUGCCCACAGGUGACGUGGGUAUAUUGGCCUUGCUCUUCCUGUUCUGUUUCUCGGUGGUAGAAGUAGUUGAAAUUGGAGACAAUGACCGGUACUGGUAGAGCAAUGGUGAGAACUCCAGCAAUGGCACACAAUGAACCCACAAUCUUGCCCCCCACAGUCAUGGGGUACAUAUCCCCAUAACCUACCGUGGUCAUUGUAACCACAGCCCACCAGAAGGCAUCUGGGAUGCUAGGGAAGAGCGAGUCGUCAUCAUCUGCCUCUGCGAAGUAGACGGCGCUGGAGAAGAGGAUGACUCCGAUGAAGAGGAAGAAGAUGAGUAGCCCCAGCUCCCGCAUGGAUGCCUGCAAAGUCUUACCCAGGAUCUGCAGCCCCUUGGAAUGGCGGGAAAGCUUGAAGAUGCGGAACACCCGGACCAGGCGAAUCACCCUGAGGAUGGCUAAGGACAUGGCCUGCUGCCCAUUUUGGCCACUGCCACCACUCACGGACUGCUCGUGACGUUGCACUAGCUCAGUGCCCAGGGUGAUAAAGUAGGGAAAGAUGGCCACCAAGUCAAUGAUGUUCAUGAUAUUGCGAAAGAAGGCCGCCUUGCUGGGACAAGCAGAGAAGCGCACCAGGAGCUCAAAAGUGAACCAGACGAUACACAAAGUUUCCACCAGAAAAAAAGGGUCCGUGAAGAAGGAACCCCCGAGAGUACUGAAUGAGGACGCUCCCCCGGUCCCCACCCCCGCAGGGGGAAUGCCACCGGGAAAUGCAUAGGAAUCCUCAUCCUCCUCUUCUUCCUCGUGGCUCCCCCUGGAGGCCGGGGACAUGCGGGUCCCACUACCCUCAUUGCUUCCGCCACGCCCAUCUGCACGGAACUGGGGCAAGGUCUCCAGGCAAAAGAUGACGAUGGAGAUGAGAAUGACCAACACUGAAACGAUGGCGAUGCCUCGAGCGGGUCCAGAGCUCUCCGGGUACUCAAAGAGGAGCCAGACCUGGCGCUGGAAGGGCUGGGAGGGGAGUGGUUUCUCAUCUUCGCCACCUUCGGGCAGACAACCCUCAUCCUCCCGGAAGGCCGCCAGGGCUUCGUCCCCCAACUGAUAGAAGCGGAUCUCUUCCAUAAAGAUGUCCAGGGGCACGUUGACCGGCCUACGCAGGCGGCCCCCAGAUUGAUAGUAGUAGAGGAUGGCAUCGAAGCUGGGUCGGUUGCGGUCAAAGAAGUACUCGUUCCUCAGGGGGUCAAAGAAGCGGACUCUGCGGCCAGGGUCUCCCAGAAGCGUGUCGGGGAACAGCGAUAGGGUGCGCAACUGCGUCUCGAAGCGCAACCCGGAGAUGUUGAUCACCAGCCUCUCACUACUACAGCAGCCACCGCCGCCCUCGGCCUCCUGGAACUCUCCGGCAUCCUGUUGCUCCCCCUCCGGCCCACGGACCUCCCCCGGCGCCGCCAGCGUCAAGGAUUUCUCCGAUCUCAUGUCCCCUUGGCGGUGCGCUCCCCACCACUAGGACGGCGCCCACGACAGGAACUCGGGAGCGCGGCACACGCUUACCAGCUCCGGCUGCGCCCUCUUUUAGGGUGGGGCCGGCGAUCUGACCUGGCGGUUAGGUCGGUGAAACCUGCAGCUGGUUCCUCGGCCAGGCUAGUUCUGGGAUGUGGCUCUGGCUCCCAGCAGCCACGCCUCAGUGCUCAAGAUUACUGGGAUGCCUGGAACCCGCAAACUGUCGCGCGCGUGAAACUGGCUGCCCGAAAAGACGCGUGGCUUAGCUCCCGGUGGUGACUAAAACUGGGCUCGGGGACCCACGAGUCCGCCUUCCAGACCUGCUGGCUCUCUCCGGGUCCUGCUGUUCUUCUCCCAGCCUUACAAGACCCUGGGUUGCCGCUGGUACAGAAGCGCCAGAUGCGCCUCCCUCCGGCUCGCCAAAGACUCUUGCCGGGGCUCGGCCUCCGCCUCCGCCCUGCGUCCACCACCGAACUAGGUCUGGCCAAGGUCGCGGUUCCAACCGCCACCUUCUUCCCAGGAGCUGUUCCACAGGCCUUGGGACCGCCCUGGGGCUGCCCAGGCGCCGGAGCGCAGGGACCCACCUCCCACAGCUUCAAGCCUUGGCUACGCCGGCAGCAGCGACAGCAGCAGCAGCAGCAACAACAGCAGCAACAGCAGCAGCAGCAGAAGCAGCAGCAGCAGGCACUGCUCUCCGCUCUGCCCUUCCUCCCCAACACUCUCCAAGUGACGUGGCAGGCCCCGCCUGCUGCCCCCUCCCACCCCACUCUCCCAUCACACCCCUUACCCAGCCAGGGGCUGCAGCAAGCCUAGAUGCUGGGGAGAGAUAUGUACACUUGCCUCCCCAGUAAUCUUUCCCGCGCUCGCCUGGCACGCCUCUUGCUUUCUCACAUUCACACACACACGCCCCCACCCCCACCCCAACCCAGCCGCCGCAGUAUUAACGCACCCCCUCCAUCCUUCACAUCUCUUCUCAUUUCUGUUCACCGGGCUGACCUGCGCAGUGUAUUUCACCAAAAAGAAAUCACACCCUGGCCCAACACACCCCUCCCCUGUACACAGCAUCUGACUCCCCUCAACAGCUACUUAAUGGGGGAAAGAAUGCCAUGUUUUCUCUAUCCAUGAAGACACAUUUGCCGAUUUCAACCUCUACCGAGAGUGGGGGAAAUGAAGUAUUUUUAAAUGUCUUGAGAGCUUUGCGUUUAGGCUGUAUCCCAAUGUUAAUUCCCCCAUAGACUCACAUUUGCAACCUGGAAGGGUGGGGCUGCAGCUCUCUUCAUGGCAUUAGUGAUAGUAACAGGGGAGGGAAAGUCUACCCAUGCCCAGUGAGUGGGAAACCCUCUCAUGGAGUCCUGGGAACACCCGCCAUUAGCUCCUAUGAAAAGAACCGGAAGAUCAUAGUAUUAAAGAUACACAAUAUACAGGGAACUGCAACCCAGAAUCUUUGUUCCAAGCCUCCCUGGAGGGGAAAAGAAAAAAGAUUGUGUAAUUUAUAUUUAUUUGUGUCAAGAAAGGGGGAAGGAUAACUGGAAAUGGGGUACAUCAAAAUGUCAAUAAAUUACAGCUAUGUUCAAUGAGCGUCUAAUGGACACAUUUUAGGUGCUUCUCCAGAAUAAUGGCCUCUACCCCUAGGCCAUGUUACAAUGGAGUCUCAUUUGGCAGGAUUUGGAUGGGGCAAAAUGGGUUGUGAGGGAACCCAUGCCUCUUACUCUGCCUCUCUUUGAAUGCCAGCAAGGUUUCCCAUCCAUUCUGCUAAAGGCUUUAGACUGUUUCCUCCCUAGCUCUCAUGGAUGAAGAUGCUGGAGAGUGCAUCUUAUUCUUUCAGACUGCCACAUCCAGGCAGCUUGGCCUUGACUUUCCCGUGGCCAGAGUGGAUUGGCUGGCAAUGGCCAGCCUCUCUGUGUGGCUGCUUCUUCAUAAGAAAGAGCUUCAAAAGGGCUAAGGAUGGGAAUGGCACAUAAAGAUUGUCUCAAGCCCCGGAAUGCAAGUGUGGGUUCUUAGCCAUCCCUUAUACACAGACUGUUUUAAAAUCACAGCAGCUGCUCCCAGAGGGAUGAGGCAGAGGAGAAAACCAGAGCUCCUGGACCUGUAAGGAGGAAGUCAAGGGGAGAGAAAGUAAGAGGGAAGCUGGCUUCAACACCCACUGUGCUCUCCUGUGUCCGUCCCUCCGCGGUCUACCGGACCGGACCAUAGCCUCUUCUCCCCUUCUGCUCAGCUUGGUCUCCUCCUUCCCUCCCUUGUGCAGUUCAGGGAAGGGUGAGAGAGCAAGUGCAGUGCAUUCACCCAGUCGAUAGUUUUCCCAUUUACAGGCUGUGUAAUUAAGCAAUUUAGACUUCACACAAAAGUUACUCCAUUCAAAGAAAAAAAUUAAAUAAAGCAACAAUAAAUACGAUGUAGGAAAUACA